GCCCGGAUGGCGGAAUUGGCAGACGCAGUGGACUCAAAAUCCACCGCCCUCUAAAGGCUUGUGGGUUCGACCCCCACUCCGGGCACCA
rnacentral:tRNA from 1 species